rnacentral:rRNA from 1 species
GACGAACGCUGGCGGCGUGCUUAACACAUGCAAGUCGAACGGAAAGGCCCUGCUUUUGUGGGGUGCUCGAGUGGCGAACGGGUGAGUAACACGUGAGUAACCUGCCCUUGACUUUGGGAUAACUUCAGGAAACUGGGGCUAAUACCGGAUAGGAGCUCCUGCUGCAUGGUGGGGGUUGGAAAGUUUCGGCGGUUGGGGAUGGACUCGCGGCUUAUCAGCUUGUUGGUGGGGUAGUGGCUUACCAAGGCUUUGACUGGUAGCCGGCCUGAGAGGGUGACCGACCACAUUGGGACUGAGAUACGGCCCAGACUCCUACGGGAGGCAGCAGUGGGGAAUAUUGCACAAUGGGCGGAAGCCUGAUGCAGCAACGCCGCGUGCGGGAUGACGGCCUUCGGGUUGUAAACCGCUUUCGCCUGUGACGAAGCGUGAGUGACGGUAAUGGGUAAAGAAGCACCGGCUAACUACGUG